rnacentral:rRNA from 1 species
AACGAACGCUGGCGGCAUGCCUAACACAUGCAAGUCGAACGAGACCUUCGGGUCUGGUUGCGCACGGGUGCGUAACGCGUGGGAACCUGCCCUUAGGUUCGGAAUACCUCCCCGUAGGGGGUGCUAAUACCGGAUAAUGUACUCGGACCAAAGAUUUAUCGCCCUUGGAUGAGCCCGCGUUGGAUUAGCUAGUUGGUAGGGUAAAAGCCUACCAAGGCGACGAUCGAUAGCUGGUCAGAGAGGCAGAUCAGCCACACUGGGACUGAGACACGGCCCAGACUCCUACGGGAGGCAGGAGUGGGGGAUAUAGGACAACGGGGUGAAUCCUGAUCGAGUAAGGGCGCGUGAGUGAUGAAGGCGUUAGAGAAGUAAAGCUCGUUUACCCGGGAUGAUAAUGACGGUACCGGGAGAAUAAGCACCGGCUAACUCCGUG